GACGAACGCUGGCGGCGUGCCUAAUACAUGCAAGUCGAGCGGUUCCUUCGGGGACAGCGGCGGACGGGUGAGUAACACGUAGGCAACCUGCCUGCAAGAUCGGGAUAACCAUCGGAAACGAUGGCUAAGACCGAAUAACUGAUUGUCCCGCAUGGGAGAAUCAUGAAACACGGGGCAACCUGUGGCUUGCAGAUGGGCCUGCGGCGCAUUAGCUAGUAGGCGGGGUAACGGCCCACCUAGGCGACGAUGCGUAGCCGACCUGAGAGGGUGAACGGCCACACUGGGACUGAGACACGGCCCAGACUCCUACGGGAGGCUG
rnacentral:rRNA from 1 species